UCCACGCCGUAAACGAUGAGAACUAGAUGUCGGGAGGAUUACCUUUCGGUGUCGCAGCUAACGCAUUAAGUUCUCCGCCUGGGGAGUACGGUGGCAACACUAAAACUCAAAGGAAUUGACGGGGACCCGCACAAGCGGUGGAGCAUGUGGUUUAAUUCGAUGCAACGCGAAGAACCUUACCUACCCUUGACAUGUAGUGAACUUACCAGAGAUGGUUUGGUGCCUUCGGGAAC
rnacentral:rRNA from 1 species